rnacentral:rRNA from 1 species
ACGUAGGCAGCAAGCGUUGUUCGGAGUUACUGGGCGUAAAGGGUGUGUAGGCGGUCUCUUAAGUUUGGUGUGAAAUCUCCCGGCUCAACCGGGAGGGUGCGCCGAAUACUGAGAGGCUCGAGUGCGGGAGAGGAAAGUGGAAUUCCUGGUGUAGCGGUGAAAUGCGUAGAUAUCAGGAGGAACACCGGUGGUGUAAACGGCUUUCUGGACCGUGACUGACGCUGAGACACGAAAGCGUGGGUAGCAAACAG